CUGGGUUCUCCUGUAAAGGGAAUACUGUUUGCCUCUUUAAAAUCUUGUGCAUUAGAAAUCUUUCCUUAACCAUGAGCCCCAUACGUUGCCUGCUCCAACAUACUGUGAAAUUAUCAAGGAGUCAAAAACACAAUUUGAAAGGAACUACAAGGAAUUCAGGAUAGAAAAGCAAAGAAUUAAUGAAGAAAUAAAACUCCUAAAACAGCGACAGGAAAGAAUUGACAAAGAGCUAGACAGACUCCAAGCAAAGGCUAUGAAGAAACCCUAUGAAGUUCAGGAUGACUUUGACAAGUUCCUACACAAACUGCGUUCUGAAGAAAACAUGGAUUUAGAUUAUAAGGCAUCACAAUCAUCAUCAGCAACAACAACAACAGAAUUCUACCCCUCAGAGGAAGUAGAACACUAUGAGUAACCAGAAAUUAACUAUAUUCAAUAAUACACACCAAGCAAUUGUAGGAGUUUAAUUGUAGCAGUAUGUUUAUUCAAUUCAAGUUCAAUCCAUGUGUGUCUAAAGUGUUCUAUCAUUUAUCCUUAAAAUCUACAAAUCUCAGUAAAUCAUCUUUAAAAUAU